GAACUUGCCAACAACCUCAUUACAGAGAAUCCAUCCUUCCACCUUGUUGUGAAGUCAUACCAUUUGGAGAAGGGCAACGUGUAUGUACCAAACAGCUUUAUGAAAGAGCUUAUGGAGAUCACAGAAACAGAAAGUAUACUGCUUCAGGUUGCAGAUAAGGUUAAGGUAUGGCCUGUGAAUGUGAGAUUCUAUCCUUUAAAAAGAAUGGGUUGUCUAACCUCAGGCUUCGUCGCAUUUGCAAGGGAAAAUUCACUGCAAGCUGAAGAUGUUUGCGUUUUCCAACUGAUCAAGAACAAUGUUCUGAAUGUUUCAAUCUUCAAAAAUGCUUCUUAGAUGGUUUCAGUUGCUUUAAUCAUAUAUGUUUUGUCAUAGUUAAGGAACAGGCACUGGCAUAUCUAGCUAAUUAAUUAUUUUCAGUGAUCUCAAUCCAUUAAAUAUAUAUAGCAG
rnacentral:misc_RNA from 1 species